UACGUAGGGUGCGAGCGUUGUCCGGAAUUACUGGGCGUAAAGAGCUCGUAGGUGGUUUGUCGCGUCGUCUGUGAAAUUCCGGGACUUAACUUCGGGCGUGCAGGCGAUACGGGCAAUACUUGAGUGCUGUAGGGGAGACUGGAAUUCCUGGUGUAGCGGUGGAAUGCGCAGAUAUCAGGAGGAACACCGAUGGCGAAGGCAGGUCUCUGGGCAGUAACUGACGCUGAGGAGCGAAAGCAUGGGUAGCGAACAGGAUUAGAUA
rnacentral:rRNA from 1 species